rnacentral:rRNA from 1 species
AACGAACGCUGGCGGCAUGCCUAACACAUGCAAGUCGAACGAGACCUGCGGGUCUAGUGGCGCACGGGUGCGUAACGCGUGGGAACCUGCCCUUAGGUUCGGAAUAACGCCCCGAAAGGGGUGCUAAUACCGGAUAAUGUCUUCGGACCAAAGAUUUAUCGCCUUUGGAUGGGCCCGCGUUGGAUUAGCUAGGUGGUAUGGUAAAAGCCUACCAAGGCGACGAUCCAUAGCUGGUCUGAGAGGAUGAUCAGCCACACUGGGACUGAGACACGGCCCAGAAUACUACGGGAGGCAGAAGUGGGGAAUAUUGGAAAAUGGGCGAAAGCCUGAUCCAGCAAUGCCGCGUGAGUGAUGAAGGCCUGAGGGUUGUAAAGCUCUUUUACCCGGGAUGAUAAUGACAGUACCGGGAGAAUAAGCUCCGGCUAACUCCGUG